GACGAACGCUGGCGGCGUGCUUAACACAUGCAAGUCGAACGGAAAGGCCCUGCUUUUGUGGGGUGCUCGAGUGGCGAACGGGUGAGUAACACGGGAGUAACCUGCCCUUGACUUUGGGAUAACUUCAGGAAACUGGGGCUAAUACCGGAUAGGAGCUCCUGCUGCAUGGUGGGGGUUGGAAAGUUUCGGCGGUUGGGGAUGGACUCGCGGCUUAUCAGCUUGUUGGUGGGGUAGUGGCUUACCAAGGCUUUGACGGGUAGCCGGCCUGAGAGGGUGACCGGCCACAUUGGGACUGAGAUACGGCCCAGACUCCUACGGGAGGCAGCAGUGGGGAAUAUUGCACAAUGGGCGGAAGCCUGAUGCAGCAACGCCGCGUGUGGGAUGACGGCCUUCGGGUUGUAAACCGCUUUCGCCUGUGACGAAGCGUGAGUGACGGUAAUGGGUAAAGAAGCACCGGCUAACUACGUG
rnacentral:rRNA from 1 species